GAUUAGUGGGGUUUAGUUUAAGACUUUGUGAAGACAUACUUAAGUUACUGUGUUACAAUUGGUUGUUUGGAAGCUUGAACAGAGUUUAAAUUACUUCACAGUAUCAGGUUAGGCUCAUAUGCCUAGGUGCUGAUGCACAAAGAACAUAAAUGCUAUAAUAUUAGCAGAUUCUUUUUCAGAAGUUCUUUAGAAAAUAUCCCUAAAAAGUGUUACUUUCUGCUAGAUCCUUUACCGCAUUGCUCCAACAAGGAAGUAGUCCCAAGCAUGAAUACUCUGCUUCUGUUUAUGAGUGUGCUAGGUAUAUCCUUUGCUUCUCCAAUCAAAAGAAGCGUAAAUUUGCUUGGAAGUGGCUAUGCAGAAAAUGUUGCCAACGUUAAUGCCAUUAAUGCAAACAAAGAAAUCUUAAGCAAUGGCUCUGGGAAUGCUGGGAGGAACCAACAGAAUGGCGAGAAUGAAAACGAUGGGCACCCAGAAGGAGCAAAAUUCAGUAAUUAUACAAGAGGACCCAAUCAAACUGGAGAGGUGUCUGCAAUUGAUAUUAACUAUCCCCAGAGGGCUUAUGAGGAUAAAUCCAAUAAUCAACCAGCCCCUGAGGACCCUGAUAAUACCCAGGGAACACAAAACAUUGAUCAAAAUGCUGAGCUCCGCACAGGGAAAGGAAUUAACCAUCCUCAUUUAGACCUUCAUGUGAACACAAACCGCACCAGUGAAGAGAAUCCAUCUGAACAUUUACCAGGGAAAAACAGCAUUUAUGGUUCAGCAUGGGCAGAAGAGGGUUUUGCACCUGAGGAUGCAGAGCUCUCCACUGACAAACAAGAUGUCAUAGAAGCCCACAGUGACAGUAGCUUUAACGUAGGGGGAAAGGAUGAGGAUAUGGAUAAUGGCCACCAUCAUUCAGACAACGGUUAUUUUAACGAUGAAGGCAUGCAAAGGGUUGAUCCAGGUAAUGCUGGUGAUAGUGCUGACUCUAACUCUAGUCAGCAGGAAGAAAGCAAUAGCGACUCUGCGCAAUCCACUCCAAAACACUGCAAGAGUAUUCCCAGUGAAUCAAAGAGUUCAAGUAAAGCUGCUCAUCAGAAUACUAGUGUUUCCAAUGAUUCCAUCAGCCCCAGUGCUGCUAGCGCCUUCAGCGACCCCAGUGCCUCAAGUGGCUCCAGCAACCCCAGUGCCUCAAGUGACUCCAGCGACCCCAGUGCCUCAAGUGACUCCAGCGACCCCAGUGCCACAAGUGACUCCAAUAAUUCCAGUGAAUCCAGCAGCUCCAGUAAUUCCAGUGAAUCCAGCAGCUCCAGUAAUUCCAGUGAAUCCAAUGAAACAAGACAGUAGAGUUCAAUAAGUCAAUAGUGACAUUCCAAAGGCAUUAGAUACCAGUCGCCAGCAAAACAGAGAAAAAGGCAAUAGCCUACAAACAGGUAUCAGUGAAAAUAAUUCCGAUGAUUCAAGUAACUAAAACUUAAUUAGUAAAUGGUAACAACCACAACGGAAAAGACACUCCUCCAAUAGUAUCCCAAAAUAUGUACUGUAGCUCUCUAAAGGACUCUAUAUAAUUUGCUUUGGUGGUUGCCUAAUUUCAUUAGUGUUAAAGCUUUUCAUAAUGAAAGAGAAUAUUGUGUUGCAUGAACAAGCAUAUUUGCCUUCUCCAUUUGCAGCCUGUGGUUCAAAUUCUGUUUUCACUGACACCUGUGCAACCCCAGUGACUUGGAUGUCACUUGGAGAUGAAUUUGUUUCAAAUUCAACUCAUUCCAGAAUGUUUCAAUGACAUUGUGUAACUGUGCCUUGUAGCUUAGCACUGCAGAAUCUUAGCGUAAUUUAAUAUUUCAAAUUUUCUUUACACAUUUGUAAUUUCUUAAUCAGAACUACAAGAAAGAUUGUUGUUUACCAUGUUGUGUCAAAGGCAUUUCCUACUGCUGCCUUGUAUCACUGUUAUCUGUAAUCUGUUCAUUCUCUCCAGCUACUCUUCAGCCUCAUCUAUUUGCUGUAGUACUAUAACGUCCCAGGGUGAUGUGCAUUAGAAAGAAAGGGGUGGUUUGGUGGAAUAUGUGAAUUUAGCAGGUAGCACCAGUCCAGUCUCUACUGAGUCUAUCACAUCACAGAAAGCAUAUGUGGCACUAAAUGAUACCCUUGUUGGUAUAAUGACUAAAACGUUCUCUGCUGUAGUUGGCCCCUAUAGGUCAUAAUUGAGGCAUAUAAGUGGAGCAACAUUGGAGGGACUGUACUACUGAGGUGGCUGAGGAAGUUUGGUCUCUAUCUGUAAUAGGACUAUGGAGAACUAUUAUAUUAGUCUUACAAAUGAUGUUUAACUAAAUGUAUAGGCAGUUAGAGCUUGGUGAAAAGGUUUGUUCUUACAUUGUGUUGCUAUUCUUUUUUAGAAAUUGUGAGUAUUACCAGUAAAAUUGACUUCUUCUAAUGGACUCUUGCUGACUAGACAGUGACUUAGGUGCACAGAUGCUGUCUUCAGGAUAUACCCCCACAAAAAAAUGGAAAUCAUUACAAGGUCAGGAAAACAUCACAUCCGAGGCUGUCAAUCUGGCAUCUUUACAAACAGCUACCGCUGACAUCAGUGCGGAUUGAGGAUGCUCAGCACCUCUGGAAAGCAGGCCAGUGGUCUCUGCCCCAAAAGUCUUGCAAUCUAAUUAGACAUCAGGCAGACAGUGACUGACAGACAAUUUGUGACAGUAACAAACAGAGGUAAAAGCGGGGAGGGAAAGAAAAGAGUGAAAGGAACAGGAUCACGUGGUUACUCAGCUAUUGUACAUAUACUUCUUGGCAGGUCCAUUUAAGUUACUUUGGUUAUGGUGAAUUAACUCAUUUCCUGUAGGUAUUUCUAUAAAUGAUGGGGGAGAUUGUGAUUGUCUUAUUCACACAGGUGAGCAGUUCUUCAUGGGACUUCAGUGAAACUACUCACACGAGUAACUGCUUGUUACAUUAUUGAACUGGAUUUAAUUCUAUGGCCUAUGCUAUGUAGGAUGUCAGACUUAGAUAAUCACAACCUUAAAAUCCAUGAUGCUGUGACAAUUUAUAACAGCUCAGGAUCAGCCCCUGUGAAUUUGAGUAAGGGGUUCACAAUCUGCCCCUAUAUUUGUAAAGAUCAUCAUGAAAAAGGUGAAAGAUCUGUAUCAUAUAUUCAAAAAGAUGAUUAUAAUAAACAAACCACCCUCUCUCA
ensembl:lncRNA